rnacentral:lncRNA from 1 species
CUCAGCGCAAAUUACCAACCCCAUGAUCGAUUUCUACUCUUGUCUUCAUCAGUUGGAAAUCCAAGACCUGAGAUAUCAUGGAGAGAAAUUCACCUGGUCAAACAAACAGCCAGACACUCCCAUAGCCAAGAAGUUGGAUCGUGCCCUAAUAAAUGAACAUUGGUUAAACUCAUACCCUCGUAGCCUCGCGCUGUUCCUUGCCCCCGAGAUUUUGGAUCACACGCCUUGCUAUAUUGAACCAGACCGCCCCCGUCCCCAAGCUGGAACUAAACCCUUCAAGUUCUUCAACUACCUCACCCUUCACCCUGACUUCCUUAAACUGGUUGCUGAAACCUGGGUUUGCACUGAAAUCGAGAAUCACUCAUUAUCUCAAUUGAGUGUUAAGCAAAAAGAGCUAAAGAGUGUUUUAAAAACACUAAACAAAGAGAAAUUCUCAGAUAUUCAAAAAAGGGUUUCACAUACUAACUGUUUGUUCAUGGAUGCGCAGGUACUCUCCCUCCGCCACCCCAACUCAGCUAACUUUUCUGCAGAGAGAGCCCUCCUAGAG